rnacentral:rRNA from 1 species
GAUGAACGCUGGCGGCGUGCCUAAUACAUGCAAGUCGAACGCUGAAGGAAGGAGCUUGCUCUUUCCGGAUGAGUUGCGAACGGGUGAGUAACGCGUAGGUAACCUGCCUGGUAGCGGGGGAUAACUAUUGGAAACGAUAGCUAAUACCGCAUAACAGUAGAUGUUGCAUGAUAUCUACUUAAAAGGUGCAAUUGCACCACUACCAGAUGGACCUGCGUUGUAUUAGCUAGUUGGUGAGGUAACGGCUCACCAAGGCGACGAUACAUAGCCGACCUGAGAGGGUGAGCGGCCACACUGGGACUGAGACACGGCCCAGACUCCUACGGGAGGCAGCAGGAGGGAAUCUUCGGCAAUGGACGGAAGUCUGACCGAGCAACGCCGCGUGAGGGAAGAAGGGUUUCGGAUCGUAAAGCUCGGUUGUAAGAGAAGAACGAGUGUGAGAGUGGAAAGUUCACACUGUGACGGUAGCUUACCAGAAAGGGACGGCUAACUACGUG